rnacentral:rRNA from 1 species
GACGUAGGGCGCGAGCGUUGUCCGGAUUUAUUGGGCGUAAGAGCUCGUAGGCGGCUUGUCGCGUCGACUGUGAAAAACCCGUGGCUCAACCAUGUGGUCUGCAGUCGAUACGGGCAGGCUAGAAUUCGGUAGGGGAGACUGGAAUUCCUGGUGUAGCGGUGAAAUGCGCAGAUAUCAGGAGGAACACCAGUGGCGAAGGCGAGUCUCUGGCACGCAUCUGACGCUGAAAACACGAAAGCCAGGGGAGCGAACGGG